UACGUAGGGCGCAAGCGUUGUCCGGAUUCACUGGGUGUAAAGGGUGCGCAGGCGGAGAAGCAAGUCAGAGGUGAAAUCUCACGGCUCAACCGUGAAACUGCCUUUGAUACUGCUUUCUUGAGUCAGGGAGAGGUUGAUGGAAUUCCAGGUGUAGCGGUGAAAUGCGUAGAUAUCUGGAAGAACACCGGUGGCGAAGGCGGUCAACUGGCCCUGAACUGACGCUC
rnacentral:rRNA from 1 species